CAUAUUUUGAUUUCACUAAAAAUAGUGAAAAAAGUUUCCACGCACAAAGCAUUCUCAACAAUGUUUUUGGCCAGAUUGACAGCUGCAGCUCCCUCCAGCCAUUUAUUAAUGGCUUUUUCUUUUUAAAAAAUCUACUUCUGCCCAUGAAUCUGAAACACAUUAACUGAACAUUUGGGUCAAAAUUUCUCAUACAUGCUACAUCUUCCCUCUGGAUGAAAAACUCCUGGGGAAUGGGGAUUAUGUCUUCCAUAGCUUUCUCCCCUCGUGUCCAGCCUGGCUUUAGGCCUGAUAAUGACUGCUGUCAUCAUUGUUGCUGUUAUUGUUGAUUUUCAUUAUAGAGCCUGAAGGAAACUUCAAAUCGAAUCCAACCUCCUCUCUUUACCAAUGGGGAAAUUGAACCCAAGAGAAUAAACUGUAUUUAGUCUAAUAUCAGAUCCUUGGUGGAAAGGCUCAAUAUUGUAAACAUGUUGAUUCUACUUCAAAUCAAUCCAGAAAUUCACUGAACUUUAAAUCUAAUGGGAUUGGGGGGAGUUGGGGAGAUCUGACAAAUUUAUUUGAAAAUGAAGAAGGAUAGCUAAGAAGUGUUAGAAGCAGACGAGUAAUGUCCUUUCCCAUAAUAAGAUUAUAGUUCAAUCUAAAGAUUUACACAAUUUAAAACUGGGUAUACCAUUUUAGGAACAGAUUAAUUAAUGGAAAAGAAGGAAGAAUUCAGAAAAGGAAAUUCAUCUCAUUUAUUUUAAAAUUCAAUGAUGUAGUGCUAAUCCUAAGCAGUGGAAGGAAACCUGGAAUUUUCAAAAAGUGAUGUUGAAGCAGCUGUUCUCUUUUUGGGGAAAACAAACUGAAAAAUAAAAAACUUUAGAGUUAAUUUUAAAUAAUUAAAACAAGUCACAUCUCACACCUACUCAAAAAUAAAGUACAAUUGGAUUAAAGAUUUGUGUAAUAAAAAAAGACACUAGAAGAAAAUAUAGGGGAAAAAUUUUUUAUAACUUGAAUGUGGAAAAUGUCUUUCUUAGCAUAGUAUAAAAACUAAAAAUCCUGAAGAGAAAGAAUUUGGACCCCAUGAAAAUUUAAAAUGUAUGAAUAGUGGAAGAUAUCAUAAAAAAUAAAUAGUAGAAAACAAAUGACAGUCUGGGAGAAAAUAUUUUCAACACAUGCAACAGACUAAGGAUUAAUAUCCAUUAUAUAUAAAGAGCACCUACAAAUCCACCAGGAAAGGACUGACAACCCCCACCAAAACAGGUAAAGAAUAUGAAUAGAUAACCAAUGAAGAAACACAAAUGUUUUGUGGAUGCAAAACAUAUUUAAAAAGUGUUCAAUCUCUCUACUAAUUAAAGUAAUAAAAAUUUAAAACUCAUGAUAUUUUAUACCUACCAUAUUAGUAAAAGUCAAAAAAUAUUGGUAACAUUCAGAAUUGAGGACGUGGAAGGUAAUCAAAGCUUUUCUUCCUUGACAGUAAUAAUGUCAAUGGUUCAGCUUUCUUAAAAGAACAACUUGGGCAUUAUCUUUCAAUAUUUUUAAAUGUUCAUAUCCAUGCAGCAGCAUCAUAUCUGGAAAUCCAUCCUACAAGAUACUAAACACAGGUGCCUAAAGACAUGUUUGCUGUGCUCUCCUUGUAACAGGCAGACAAAUUGUUGAUGAAUGAUAAAGAAGGAUAAAAUAAAUCAUGGUAGUCCCAGCUACUCGGGAGGCUGAGGUGGGAGGAUUGCUUGAGGCCAGGAGUUUGAGCCCAGCUUGGGCAACAUAGCAAGACCCCCAUCUCAAAAAAAAAUUAUUGCACAUUCAUGUUAUGGAUGGCUGUGCAGAUAUUAAAGAGAAUGACAUAAAUCUGCCUGUAUCAACAUGGAAAGUCACACACAAUUUAUUGGAAAGUGGAAAAAAAGAAAUAAUUAUAUAAUAAUCAGUAUAAUAUUAUCCCAUUUCCAUUUUGUAAAACAAAUAAAUAAAUAAAGAUUCAGAUCAAAUUUUUAGUGGUGGUUACAGCUGAGGAGUGGGGUCGGUGGGAGUGAUAGGAAGAUGGAAUGUUGCUAUUUAAAAAUGUAUGUUGGUCAAAUUGAAAAAAAAUAAAAGAUAUCCUUCACAUAUUUCAAUAAUGAAAAAAGCAAGAAAUAAGAUAAAAUAAAAUAAAUGUAAGUUGGUGCUCUUUGAAUGCGUCUUGAUGAUAUCUGCAGUUUUGCACAUACAUAUACUGUGUGUGUGUGUGUGUGUGUGUGUGCACACGCCUAUAUAAUUAACAAAGAAACAUAUCCUCACUGGCCCUGUGCAAAGCUGUUACAAUAUUUAUUUUAGGAAUGAGGAAACAGUCCUGAGUUCUAUCACUUGCCCAAGAAACUCACAUGCUGUGAGUGACUACAAAGGAAUUCCAGUCCCAGCCUGAACUGAAAGCCAGGGAGGACCCUUCCCUGCCAACUCGCCUGCCCUAAGCACAGAGCGUGGCUGUGCGAAUUGCAGACUUGGUGGAUGACGGCUGUGGGGAGUUAGAGAGAGCCGCAGCCUGAAAGCCCAACCUCAGGGAAGUGAUUACACCCAUCAAGACCGACCACUCAAUGGACGGACAAACCAUCAAUAAACAUUAUGUUUUGCCAAGAGGAACUAAUGACUUGGGAAAUACAUACAAAAAUAAAUUUAAAAAACACCACAUUCGAAACUGAAAGGUUAGGAUAACAUCAACUAUAAAAAUAUGAAGACUAUGCACAAGAAACUGCCAAUUGCCAGAAUAAAUAUCACUGGGUGAUAGGAUUCUGAA